AUUGAACGCUGGCGGCAGGCCUAACACAUGCAAGUCGAACGAGUGGCGGACGGGUGAGUAAUGUCUGGGAAACUGCCCGAUGGAGGGGGAUAACUACUGGAAACGGUAGCUAAUACCGCAUACCAUCGGAUGUGCCCAGAUGGGAUUAGCUAGUAGGUGGGGUAAAGGCACACCUAGGCGACGAUCCGUAACUGGUCUGAGAGGAUGAUCAGUCACACUGGAACUGAGACACGGUCCAGACUCCUACGGGAGGCAGCAGUGGGGAAUAUUGGACAAUGGGCGAAAGCCUGAUGCAGCCAUGCCGCGUGUGUGAAGAAGGUCUUCGGAUUGUAAAGCACUUUAAGCUGGGAGGCGUUACCCGCAGAAUAAGCACCGGCUAACUCCGUGCCAGCAGCCGCGGUAAUUC
rnacentral:rRNA from 1 species